rnacentral:rRNA from 1 species
CUACGGAGGGUGCAAGCGUUACUCGGAAUCACUGGGCGUAAAGCGCGCGCAGGCGGCUAUUUAAGUUGGAUGUGAAAGCCUACGGCUCAACCGUAGAACUGCAUCCAAAACUAUUUAGCUAGAGUGUGGGAGAGGAAGAUGGAAUUAGUUGUGUAGGGGUAAAAUCCGUAGAGAUAACUAGGAAUACCAAAAGCGAAGGCAAUCUUCUGGAACACUACUGACGCUGAGGCGCGAAAGCGCGGGGAGCAGACAGGAUUAGAAACCCUAGUAGUCC